GUGAGCUUCAGAAAGAUUUAAAAUAAAGAUUCAUAACCUAUGGACUGCAGAAUGAUAUGGGAAUAGGAAAAUGAAAGAGGGAGAAUUAAAUUUGCAUUUUCACUAAUCUCUAAAUGAAAUUUAGCAUUUGAUUCCAUUAUGAAUGUAGCCAAUAGAUAUGAUUCUGAGAAGAGAUUCAGAGGCUUAUCCAGACUGCCAAAGAAGUGUAUGAUGCCAAAAAAUAAAAACAAAAAACAAAAAAGUUGAGAAUCCCUGAUUUAAUGAUGUAACCAUGGAAAAUAUUCUUAAUGAAUUAAUUAAUUUUUUAAUUAAAAAAAGAAUCCCUGAUUUAAAACCAAGUCUCUCCUGCUCCCAGGUUCACCUCUAUCACUAUAUCUCAGACUGCUUCUUGAGGGAAAAGGAAUAGAGAAGAACUACACACACACACAUACAGAGAGAGAGAGAGAGAGAGAGAGAGAGAGAGAGAGAGAGAGAGAGAAAGAGAGAGAGAGAGAGAGAGAGAGAGAGAGAGAGAGAGAGAGAGAGAGAGAGAGAGAGAGAGAGAGAGAAAAGACCAUUAAUUUCAUGUGUGGCAGGGUUGGUUUGGGGGGUUGAUUGAUUGCUUUUGAGACUGGAUCUCUCUAUCUCACCCAAGUCCAGAAGUAUAGUAGUCACUCAAAGCCCAAUCCUACUGCUCGCAGGCGCAGAAGCUUUGAUCUGUAACAUUUCUGGGCUAGGUCGGUUCAUCACUCCUUAGGGACUCCCCCAACUCCUCUGGUCUCCCCAUGUUGGUGCAGGACUUAGUAAGGACGGGUGAGAACUUGCCCUUCUCAGGGGCUCAUUUCCAACCACUAACCAAGUCCAGAACCUCACAAAAGAAAGGAAAAAUCCAUCUGAUAACAUACGUGGUGAUGCAAAGGGAAGUGAGCAGAAGCAGGUCAAUGCUGUCCACAGUAACAGCAGUAACUGUGAAUGACUUAACUAUUAUCAAUGAGGGAAGGUCAACUCCAAGGGAAUUGGGAUUAUAAAGGUUAUCUUCUGCCACAGAAGGAACAGAGUCUAAAUGCAUAUAGAAACAUGCCAUUCUUUACUUUAUUUCCUCCAUGAAUUUUUCUCUAGUGUAGGCAAUAUGUAUCUUGCUUCACAAUAUGACAAACAGGGAAGUAUGCAUUAUAUAAU
rnacentral:lncRNA from 1 species